rnacentral:rRNA from 1 species
GGGGAAUAUUGCGCAAUGGGGGAAACCCUGACGCAGCAACGCCGCGUGAGUGAGGAAGGACUUCGGUCUGUAAAGCUCUGUUAAUGAGGAAAAAUGGUAGUUGGUCUAAUAGGCCGAUUAUUUGAUGGUACUCAUAGAGGAAGCACCGGCUAACUUCGUGCCAGCAGCCGCGGUAAUGCGAAGGGUGCAAGCGUUGUUCGGAUUUAUUGGGCGUAAAGCGCGCGUAGGCGGACCUGCAAGUCAGAUGUGAAAUCUCGGGGCUCAACCCCGAAACUGCGUCUGAAACUACAGGUCUAGAAUCUUGGAGGGGGAAGGGGAAUUUCGCAUGUAGGGGUAAAAUCCGUAGAUAUGCGAAGGAACACCAGAGGCGAAGGCGCCUUCCUGGACAAGUAUUGACGCUGAGGCGCGAAAGCGUGGGGAUCAAAC